rnacentral:rRNA from 1 species
AGUGAACGCUGGCGGUAGGCCUAACACAUGCAAGUCGAACGGCAGCACAGUAAGAGCUUGCUCUUACGGGUGGCGAGUGGCGGACGGGUGAGGAAUACAUCGGAAUCUACUUUUUCGUGGGGGAUAACGUAGGGAAACUUACGCUAAUACCGCAUACGACCUACGGGUGAAAGCAUGGGAUCUUCGGACCUUGCGCGAUUGAAUGAGCCGAUGUCGGAUUAGCUAGUUGGCGGGGUAAAGGCCCACCAAGGCGACGAUCCGUAGCUGGUCUGAGAGGAUGAUCAGCCACACUGGAACUGAGACACGGACCAGACUCCUACGGGAGGCAGCAGUGGGGAAUAUUGGACAAUGGGCGCAAGCCUGAUCCAGCCAUACCGAGUGGGUGAAGAAGGCCUUCGGGUUGUAAAGCCCUUUUGUUGGGAAAGAAAAGCAGCAGGUUAAUACCCCGCUGUUCUGACGGUACCCAAAGAAUAAGCACCGGCUAACUUCGUG